GCAGCGCGGGGCAACCUGGCGGCGAGUGGCGAACGGGUGAGUAAUAUAUCGGAACGUGCCCUGGAGUGGGGGAUAACGCAGCGAAAGUUGCGCUAAUACCGCAUACGAUCUAAGGAUGAAAGCGGGGGAUUCGCAAGAACCUCGUGCUCCUGGAGCGGCCGAUAUCUGAUUAGCUAGUUGGUGGGGUAAAGGCCUACCAAGGCAUCGAUCAGUAGCUGGUCUGAGAGGACGACCAGCCACACUGGAACUGAGACACGGUCCAGACUCCUACGGGAGGCAGCAGUGGGGAAUUUUGGACAAUGGGCGAAAGCCUGAUCCAGCAAUGCCGCGUGAGUGAAGAAGGCCUUCGGGUUGUAAAGCUCUUUUGUCAGGGAAGAAACGGUGAAGGCUAAUAUCCUUUGCUAAUGACGGUACCUGAAGAAUAAGCACCGGCUAACUACGUGCCAGCAGCCGCGGUAAUACGUAGGGUGCAAGCGUUAAUCGGAAUUACUGGGCGUAAAGCGUGCGCAGGCGGUUUUGUAAGUCUGUCGUGAAAUCCCCGGGCUCAACCUGGGAAUUGCGAUGGAGACUGCAAGGCUAGAAUCUGGCAGAGGGGGGUAGAAUUCCACGUGUAGCAGUGAAAUGCGUAGAGAUGUGGAGGAACACCGAUGGCGAAGGCAGCCCCCUGGGUCAAGAUUGACGCUCAUGCACGAAAGCGUGGGGAGCAAACAGGAUUAGAUACCCUGNUAGUCCACGCCCUAAACGAUGUCUACUAGUUGUCGGGUUUUAAUUAACUUGGUAACGCAGCUAACGCGUGAAGUAGACCGCCUGGGGAGUACGGUCGCAAGAUUAAAACUCAAAGGAAUUGACGGGGACCCGCACAAGCGGNGGNUGAUGUGGAUUAAUUCGAUGCANCGCGAAAAACNU
rnacentral:rRNA from 1 species